rnacentral:rRNA from 1 species
GUGAACGCUGGCGGUAGGCCUAACACAUGCCAGUCGAACGGCAGCACAGUAAGAGCUUGCUCUUACGGGUGGCGAGUGGCGGACGGGUGAGGAAUACAUCGGAAUCUACUUUUUCGUGGGGGAUAACGUAGGGAAACUUACGCUAAUACCGCAUACGACCUACGGGUGAAAGCAGGGGAUCUUCGGACCUUGCGCGAUUGAAUGAGCCGAUGUCGGAUUAGCUAGUUGGCGGGGUAAAGGCCCACCAAGGCGACGAUCCGUAGCUGGUCUGAGAGGAUGAUCAGCCACACUGGAACUGAGACACGGUCCAGACUCCUACGGGAGGCAGCAGUGGGGAAUAUUGGACAAUGGGCGCAAGCCUGAUCCAGCCAUACCGCGUGGGUGAAGAAGGCCUUCGGGUUGUAAAGCCCUUUUGUUGGGAAAGAAAAGCAGCAGGUUAAGACCCCGCUGUUCUGACGGUACCCAAAGAAUAAGCACCGGCUAACUUCGU